GCCCGCCUAGCUCAAUCGGAUAGAGCGUCAGACUCUUACCAUGACUGGGACACGGGCAUCUGAAGGCUGCGAGUUCGACCCUCGCGGUGGGCU
rnacentral:tRNA from 1 species